rnacentral:rRNA from 1 species
UACGUAGGGUGCAGGCGUUAAUCGGAAUUACUGGGCGUAAAGCGUGCGCAGGCGGUUUGCUAAGACAGGUGUGAAAUCCCCGGGCUUAACCUGGGAACUGCGCUUGUUACUGGCAGGCUUGAGUGUGGCAGAGGGGGGUGGAAUUCCGACGUGUAGCAGUGAAAUGCGUAGAUAUGUGGAGGAACACCGAUGGCGAAGGCAGCCCCCUGGGCUAACACUGACGCUCAGGCGCGACAGCGUGGGGAUCAAACAGG